rnacentral:SRP_RNA from 1 species
GGACAGGUCUGCGCGGCGAGACACCGUGAACCAUGUCAGGCGGGGAACCGAGCAGCAUUAAGCGGAUCGUCUGGUGCGAUGCAGGGUGCCUGUCCGUU